rnacentral:rRNA from 1 species
GACGAACGCUGGCGGCGUGCCUAAUACAUGCAAGUCGAGCGCAGGAAGCCGACGGAACCCUUCGGGGGGAAGUCGACGGAAUGAGCGGCGGACGGGUGAGUAACACGUAAAGAACCUGCCCUCAGGUCUGGGAUAACCACGAGAAAUCGGGGCUAAUACCGGAUGGGUCAUCGGACCGCAUGGUCCGAGGAUGAAAGGCGCUUCGGCGUCGCCUGGGGAUGGCUUUGCGGUGCAUUAGCUAGUUGGUGGGGUAAUGGCCCACCAAGGCGACGAUGCAUAGCCGACCUGAGAGGGUGAUCGGCCACACUGGGACUGAGACACGGCCCAGACUCCUGCGGGAGGCAGCGGUAGGGAAUCUUCCACAAUGGACGAAAGUCUGAUGGAGCAACGCCGCGUGAACGAUGAAGGCCUUCGGGUCGUAAAGUUCUGUUGUAAGGGAAGAACAAGUGCCGCAGGCAAUGGCGGCACCUUGACGGUACCUUGCGAGAAAGCCACGGCUAACUACGUGCCAGCAGCCGCAGUAAUAC